rnacentral:tRNA from 1 species
GUUAAUGUAGCUUAAUAAAAGCAAAGCACUGAAAAUGCUUAGAUGGAUACAAGCAUCCCAUAAACA